rnacentral:rRNA from 1 species
AGAUUGAACGCUGGCGGCAUGCCUAACACAUGCAAGUCGAACGGGAGUAGCAAUACUCUAGUGGCGGACGGGUGAGGAAUACGUAGGAAUUUGCCCUUAAGUGGGGGAUAACCCGGGGAAACCCGGAUUAAUACCGCAUGACCUCGAAAGAGCAAAGUGGGGGAUCGCAAGACCUCACGCUUUUGGAGAAGCCUACGUCGGAUUAGCUAGUUGGUGAGGUAAUGGCUCACCGAAGGCGACGAUCCGUAACUGGUCUGAGAGGAUGAUCAGUCACACCGGAACUGAGACACGGUCCGGACUCCUACGGGA